GCGGCAGGCCUAACACAUGCAAGUCGAACGGCAGCACAGUAAGAGCUUGCUCUUAUGGGUGGCGAGUGGCGGACGGGUGAGGAAUACAUCGGAAUCUACUUUUCGUGGGAUAACGUAGGGAAACUUACGCUAAUACCGCAUACGACCUACGGGUGAAAGCGGAGGACUUCGGGCUUCGCGCGAUUGAUGAGCCGAUGUCGGAUUAGCUAGUUGGCGGGGUAAAGGCCCACCAAGGCGACGAUCCGUAGCUGGUCUGAGAGGAUGAUCAGCCACACUGGAACUGAGACACGGUCCAGACUCCUACGGGAGGCAGCAGGGGGAAUAUUGGACAAUGGGCGCAAGCCUGAUCCAGCCAUGCCGCGUGGGUGAAGAAGGCCUUCGGGUUGUAAAGCCCUUUUGUUGGGAAAGAAAAGCAGUCGGUUAAUACCCGAUUGUUCUGACGGUACCCAAAGAAUAAGCACCGGCUAACUUCGUGCCAGCAGCCGCGGUAAUACGGGGUGCAAGCGUUACUCGGAAUUACUGGGCGUAAAGCGUGCGUAGGUGGUGGUUUAAGUCUGUUGUGAAAGCCCUGGGCUCAACCUGGGAAUUGCAGUGGAUACUGGGUCACUAGAGUGUGGUAGAGGGUAGCGGAAUUCCCGGUGUAGCAGUGAAAUGCGUAGAGAUCGGGAGGAACAUCCGUGGCGAAGGCGGCUACCUGGACCAACACUGACACUGAGGCACGAAAGCGUGGGGAGCAAUU
rnacentral:rRNA from 1 species